GGAACAGAUUCCUCUUCUGCUGCUGCUGAGAAAAUGAAUGAAGUAGAUAGCGACUCCUGGACUGUAGAUAAAAAGUUGAGAAACUUGUUGACUAAUAUCCUUGUUGAUAAUGGUAAGUUGCGGAAAAAGGUGAACUCAGUCAUCCGUUAUGCUGUGAAAAAGAAAAUGUCAUCUCCUGGAGAGAGUGAAAUGUACAAAACAAGCAAGCAUUUAGAUAGCUGAAGUGGGGGUAAAUAUUGUAAAAUUUU
rnacentral:misc_RNA from 1 species